GGAGUUUCACCUUGAAAACAGUAUAAAACAAUCAUGCUCCGUCAGUCAUUAUUAUGAUGCACUGGCAAUUUGUGUCUUUGUUCACUUCCACCCAGUCCUGGCUUGUCUGUAUUUGUCAUUCUAAAAAGUCUUUGGGACGUUUCUUGGCAUGACCCUUUUUUCUUUGUCAGUGGUAACUGAAAAGCAUUUGGUCAAGAGGAGAAGAAGAAGAGGAAACAUGCAUGGAUUGGCAAGUGGUACGUCUUCAUGCCGAGUUAGUGCUGGAGAGACAGGGUUUCCUUGGUGGCUUACCUAACCCUAUCCAUGCAUUAUCCGGUCAGCAUUCAGGUUAGGUAGCUGCCAUUGUUAGCCUACUAAAUUCAAUUCAGUUUGGCAACGUUAGCUGUCUGGCAACUUACGGCUGAAGAAUAAGAUUCCAAUCUACUUCUCUCGGCUCAUAUGGGCUAGCCAGCUAUAGUUAGCUAGGUAAUAGGGGGUGAAUUGGAAAAUCCUACUGUGUAAAAAAGAUGCAAAAAAGUAAUAAUAAAAAAGAAAGAGCACUGAAAAGAAUACUGCAUAGUGUGCCUUUAAUUCUCUUCUCUUUAGCCAUCGAUCAUAGGCAUGCUAAAAGGAACUGCUAGAUGGGCAUUCUUUGGCACUUGACUUGCUUCCUCAUAACCGCAUGUACCUUUUGCCCUGGUGAGCCAGUUUUUCCGGGGAAACCAUCCUGCCCAGCUGCUCCUGGUGCUCCAGGUAUCCCAGAUGCACCCGGUAUUCCAGAAAAACCUGAGGAAUGAAAAGAGAAAUCAUUUUAUUUGUACAACAGCAACUCAAUACCUUUAACCUGCUUUUGUAUUUCAGGCAUCUGCAAUAUAUGGAGGAAGGGGAAAGAGCGUUGGUUGUGGGUGGGUACGGGGUACCUUUAGGGCCUGGGAGGCCAGGUAAUCCAAUUCCUGGGAGGCCUGGGUCACCCUUCUGUCCAGGGAAACCUGGCAUGCCAGUGUCCCCUCGAGGACCUUGAUCACCUGGGGAGACACCAUCACAGUUGUACUGUCAUUCACCCCUCAUCUUUACUGACCUUCACCUCUAAUCUUUACUGACCUUCAACCCCUAAUCUUUACUGACCUUCACCUCUAAUCUUUACUGACCUUCGACCCUUAAUUUGUACUGACCUUCACCUCUAGUCUUUACUGACCUUCGACCCUUAUCUUUAUUGACCUUUGACCCUAACCUUUACUUCCCAACUAACAAGAUUACAGACUAAUAACAGAAACAGAGAUUCAAUCAGAGAGUGAAAUGCAAAAAGAGAUUAUUUGGGACCUUCCUGUUCCUGUUGCCAUAACUUGCAGUAUUUGCCUUUUUUCAGACCGGUUCCUCUGUGCUGGCCCAUGCAAUAGUCUGAAAAAAGGAACACCUUCACUGCUCACCUUGCCGGCCAGGUCUUCCCAUGUCCCCUCGAGGUCCAGGGACACCUUGUGGCCCAGUACCCUUCAUAAGAGCACCUGGAUCAGGACCACCGUGACCCAGAAGGGCCAGACUACUCACCCGGGGUCCUGGAGGUCCUACGGGUCCAUUUUGGCCUGGAAUUCCGGGACCUCCCUGCGCUCCCUGCGAAAAGUUUAAUGGACAAAAAUGUUCGGAAGCAAACACUUCCCAGGCCUGAGUGACGGGUUCUGUUCGGAGUGCAGAGCCACGCGUCUGUUCGAACUCAACCGCCGUCUUUCAGCCGACCGCAGCGCGAACGUACCUGCUGACCGGGCAUUCCGCUGAAACCCUUCUCUCCUUUCUUUGGGAUGAAGCCGCCGAUGAUGCCGCCGGCAUCCCCCUGGGAGAAACACGCAAAGCUGGUUGUUCAGUUCCUUGCUUCGUUCAGGAAGACGCAGAGUUGCAGCUCCUUCACUGAAAUGCAUGCAGGAGGCCGCAUGCAUGUCUGCAGCCCGUACAGCCGUUUGCUCCAGAGGACUGCUCCGCCUGCGCAGCUAACGCAUAUGGACCACAGGGCCCGGCCAAACAGGGCUGACAAUGCAUGAGCAGGUGGGAGGGACACCCAGCCGACAGAAUCUGACAUUCAAAAAGAGAAAUUACCACCAAAAAACUCCCCUUUCUCCUACCUUGUCUCCUGUCAAUCCGGGGAUACCCUGAAAAAGAAUUCGUAGAGAAGGAUAUAUGUGUUACCAAUAACGACAAUAUACAGGUAAAUGCAAAUGUAUUGGGACAGUUGUGGCAAAUUGGUCAUUUUUCCUCUGUGCUAAUCAAAUUAGUAUUGUCAAAUCAAGCAAUGACUUUGAGGCAAAAUUUUCAAUGUGCAUUUAUUUUAUGUGUU